CGUCAAUGAACGCACCGCAGUAGUGUGAUGUUGCGUCAGUUGAAACGUCUUUUUUAUUACUUCUCCGAUGCUGUACAGGCACCACAUCCUAGUUUUCCUAAGUUAAUGCUGUGCGUGAAUGCAUAAAGUACCACAGCAUAAAGCCUUAUAAAGACCACAGUUUACCAGUGCUUGCUGCCGCUUAUUGACCAAAUGCACCAAACAGAGGACAACUUGCCGUGUUCUUUGACUUGAACACACAUCUACUUGUAUACCUUUGAUCGCUCCAAACCAGUGCAUCCUUGGAGAAAUCUCAACACCUUAAGAACCCUCUCCGUUUCAGUGACUUUUACCUUCAUUGCAGGAGUGAUUCUUGAUUCUUUCUCCAGUUUCUCACCUCAGGUCUUUGCUUUUCUUUUCAUCACAGCCGCAAAAUAAGGCAAAUGGAGCCAAAGGAAGUUGCCAGCGGCAGCAUUUCGAUGAAGAAGCUGACAAACACUCUUGAAUACAAGAAAUAACUCACAGCAAAACACCAAGGUGGCGUCCGUGUUGAUCCCGCUACCACAAUCACGUCUUCAACGAAGAUGCACGUCGACCUAAAAGAUAGCGCCAUGCCAGAUCCCACCUGGUGGGGUAAGGAUGAUUCCGAGAAAGGUGAGGGAUCACACGGACUUUCACCUGUAUAACGCUUUGACACUGUUAGCACAUUUACCUACUGGUGACGCAGCAUCGCUAUCUUGCUCAAAGAAUACUUUGACAUGGUCACAGGAGGGCAAAAGAUCGAACCAACAACCUUCAGGUUGGAAGCCAGCCCAUCCCUGAGCUUUAGUCACACACAUCAUCAACCCCAAUGUUCAAGCGCGUCUGAACGUUUGUCGAUUAAUUGCUCAGACGUGAGAGAAUGUGGUCACAUGAGACCAGAUUGACAUCAACUCCAGAGAAAUUCAAGAACACCAUCCCCACUGUCAAACACACAGUUGGAAACCGUCAGUUUGACCAGGCCAUGUAUCACUGAACACUGAAAAUGGGAUUUGGAGAGUAUCAGUAAAGAGGAGUGGACCAACCUCCAACUCUGAUGAAAGAAGAAGAACUGCCAACAAAGGUUUCCCCACCAGGGAUCCACUUACUCAAUUGACAUCCUGGCCACAGAUUUCAGGGAACUGUAGCCAGCUGCUGUGAAGUUGUCUCGGUAUCGUUCCAUCUUGAUGGCUUCCAGCCACUCUGCCACUGAGUGGAGAGCAGCAAAAUCCAGUGUGCUCUGAUCUAACAGGGGUCUAGCUGGUCUGCGGGAUGAGAACAUGAGGGUGUUGACGGGAAUUGGGUAAGAAAGAGAGAAAAAGGCAACUGACAUCUGGACUUUUUUGGCUGAAUGUUUCCCAAACAGAAGCAAAACAACACCAUAUGGACGAAAGCAGGGGUGCCCAAACUUCUGCAUCUCAGCUUUGUGAUAUACUGCAAGUGAAAUGCUACUAAAAUUUUCGCCCAGUUUAAUCUGUUACUGGUUUUCUUGUUAAAUUAUAUUUCCAGAAUGUGCCGCGGUCCAAUAAAAAAACAGCUGCGGGCCACAAAUGGCACCCGGGCCACGCUUUGGACUCUCCUGGGCUAACGUAUUGAGAGUGUUUUUUUGUCCAUUCAUCAGCCGCGUUGGAGGAAAGAUCUCGGGUCCUCAUCACCUGCAACAAAUACUGCUGAAGAGAAUUCCACAUCUCAGAUCCAAAAACACUAAAACACCAACAGUUACAAGCCAGUGGCAUCUGAUGAAGACACUGGAGAGGCUGGUACUCAGUUAUCUAUGCCAACUGGUGGGACUCUCUGUGGACCCGCUGCAGUUUGCCAGCCAGCCUGGCAUCCGAGUAGAGGACACCGUUCCAACCUAGAGGCACCGUGAGGAUGAUGUUCUUUGAUUUCUCCAGUGUGUUCAGCACCAUCCAUAGCUUCGCCCACUGCCAAUAAUGAGGGGCGGGAAGUGAGCCUUCUUAGGGGCCCUCCUGAGAACUUUUUAUGACUCCAUUGUGGCAUCUGCCAUCUUUCAGGGAGUAGUGUGCUGUUAGUGCUUACAUGCAAGCUCUAUCUAGUUCUGCAUACAAUGCUGCUGCUGUACUCCAGGUGUUGUUCACAUCUGCAUAAUGGGAUGUAGUAUUUAUCUCUGUACAGUUCUGUACACUGCAUCAUAGCCUGGUGUAUGUAAGCACAAAGAUAUUCUUAGAUCGGAUUGGAGUUUUCUGAUACCGAUACUUCGUAUUGUGUGCUAUUUUUCUCAAAUGAAAAUAUGAUCACCCUUCACUAAAGUACAUCGCAUUAGAACCAGACAAAGAAACAUAAAUGAUGUUUGUUUUGGUGUCCUCACCUUGUACAUGUCCCAGCUGGCGUUUUCAGUGUGGUUGGGUUCCGGAUCAUCUUGUCGAGAAUGCUGACUAUCUGAUCAAAUUUGGGACGAUCUCCUCUGUCCGUCUGCCAGCAAUCCAACAUAAGCUGAUGAAGGCCUGGGGGACAGUCCAUCGGAGCUGGAAGACGGUAGCCCUCCUCUAGAGCUUUGAUGACCUGGACGCCGGAAACAAGUUUGCCUCUGUUACAUUUCUCUGCCGUCUCAUUCAAAUUCAGGUGAGGCCACAGUUACACUCUGCAAAUGUCUACACUGCAGAAACAGGACACACAUGAACUCUUGGUAUUAUAUUACAUUAUAUAUUCUACCUACACUGUGUAUUAUAUAUAUGUAUAUAUAUAUAUAUAUAUGUAUUCUGGUAACUUAUAUAUAAUUAGAAUUUCUUUUAUACAUUCUUUAUUUUUUUAAAUAUAUAUUUUCAAAUGUAUAUUUUUUAAGAUAAAGCUAUAUGUUAUAUGUUAUAUUUCAGCUUUUCAUUGCGCCUUUUUGCUCUGUUUUUCACAU